CUCCUCUUGUAGUUCAUGGGCAUGACCAUGGGGUUUUCACACUCACGUGUGAGAUGUGCCUCUCUCAAAACACUACCUGACUGACA
ensembl:snoRNA